rnacentral:rRNA from 1 species
GAUGAACGCUAGCGGCAGGCCUAAUACAUGCAAGUCGAGGGGUAGUGGAGCUUGCUCCAUGAGACCGGCGCACGGGUGCGUAACGCGUAUGCAACCUACCUUCACCUGGGGGAUAGCCCGGAGAAAUCCGGAUUAACACCGCAUAAAAUCACAGUACCGCAUGGUACAAUGAUCAAACAUUCAUGGGGAGAAGAUGGGCAUGCGUGCCAUUAGAGUUGGCGGGGUAACGGCCCACCAAGACCGCGAUGGCUAGGGGAUCUGAGAGGAU